GGAGGAGCCCAGCACCGAAUCCCCCGGCCCCCAGCGGCCGGCGGGACCUGUGGUGUGUGGGACGGCACUUGGGGCGGUGGCCGGCGUCCGAGUUCUCCUGAUAGGGACUUGGCCCGAGCGGGUGUUAGUCCUCUAGGACGCCCGGCCGCCGUCUCUCGUGGACUCGUCCCCAGAGUCGGGUUGUUUGGGAAUGCAGCCCAAAGUGGUGGUAAACUCCAUCUAAGGCUAAAUACCGACACGAGACCGAUAGCGAACAAGUACCGUGAGGGAAAGUUGAAAAGGACUUUGAAGAGAGAGUUCAACAGUACGUGAAACCGCUCAGAGGCAAACGGAUGGGACCACAAAGUCGACCCGCGGGAUUCAGCCGUGUGCGGGCGCCGCUCCGGCGGGGGAGGUGGGACUGAGGUUCCGCUGACCCCGUUGGCAGCCGGUGCCCGCCGCGGUGCACUUCCCGCGGGGAGAGCGCCACGACCGGUUGUCCGGCCGCCUCAAGCCUCCCUGGAAGGUAGCUGCCGGUUCCCCCCUCGGGGGCGGACCGCCAGUGUUACAGACGGGGAACGGUGCAGGCCGGCCGGGUGACCGAGGUAACACCGCCGCGUCAGCUCUAUUGCUCGGGCGCCCCCGCCCUUCGGCGAGUUCGACCUGGACGGACUGUUCUCAGUGCGUCCUGACCGCUCUGCCGUCGAGGCUGGGGGAUCGCUCCCGUGCGGA
rnacentral:rRNA from 1 species